rnacentral:misc_RNA from 1 species
AUUUGGAUCUGCCCCAAUUCUGCUGGUGAAUUCUUUAGUCCCCACGUUCGUCUCGCUCAGGAUAGAAUGCUACAUUGCAUUAUAUGAUUCAACCGUGUCACUGCUGCUGUAUUUAUCUCAUAUGAAGCAAGUUUUCACUCCUCGUCGCUGUCAUAAACAACUGCCAUCCUACGAUGGGUUGCAACCUUUCUUGGAGGAGACUCCUCAUCAGACUCAAUCCCCUUGCGCUUGUGACUGCUCCCAUAAUCUCUAACCUUAUGUUUGGGCUCCUCAGCCUCUUCAUCCACAUCUGAAACUUCAUUAACUUCUGCCUCUUCAUCACGUUCAUCAUCUUCUUCCCCCUCUUCCUCAUACUCCUGCUCUGGUUCUUCAACUCUCCCGGGAACAUCAUCUUCUCCUUCACUUUCGUACUCAGACUCUUCCCUGUCACUGUCUGAGAAAUCCACAGGACGCCCAGAUGAUUUAGAAGCGGGAAAGAAUGGCUUCCUGGGGAUGUCUCUAGUUCCCUUCUUUGCAUUCAUAAUACGUUUUUCUGCUCGAGCUUCCGCUUCCAAAUCUUCUUCAAAGCGGUGACGGGAGCGACGUGCGUCAAUAUAAUCUGUUUCAUCUUCCUCCUCAAGGGCAUCUUCCAAGAACCCAGGUGAUAGUUGGCGCCUUCUAUCAAUGACAGGAGUAUAUUUCUUGUUAACCUUUUCCUUUUUCCGAUUAAGAAGCACAUUUGCCCGGAUUGUUUGACUCUCGGCCCUUUCUUUUUCCUCCUUUUCCCUUUCAGGAUCAAUGUCCGUUAUGCAAUUCUUAACCUUAUACACCUUCUUAUGUCGUGAGUCAACCAAAGCAGUUAAUAAGCGGUGAGAAUUUGAUGUCAGGGAUGAUGGAAUGAACCUCAUCUUCCUCAUAAGCCUACCUUGUGAUUGCAAAAUUCCCUUCCCAUGCCGAAGAAACAAGUGUGCUUGAUCAUGCUUUGCAUCUUGCACAUUUAUGUCGAGCACUUCAUUCCCAAUUAACAGUUGCAAACUGCCAUCUGACCACCUCACAAAACGUGCAUUGCUUUCAUAAUUUGUUGUGCCAUCAGGUUUCCUAACAGUCCUCCAGCGCACAAUGUUAUUUUCCAACCGUAUGCGUUUGUUAGCUCCAGAUUCGUCUGUCACAAAUAUAUCCUCUUCCACAUAUGUUUUGGGAUCAAAUGGUUUUGGAUCAAUGCCCA